ensembl:miRNA Mir702 microRNA 702
CGGGACAAGGUGAGUGGGGUGGUUGGCAUGGGUUGCCCAUGGGGACUCGACGCUGUGCCCACAGCCUCCUGAUGUCCUCCUCACGCAUGCCCACCCUUUACCCCGCUCC